AAAAAGGGUACUCGCCACUUCAAUGGCGCGUUGGGGCACACACGUGCUCCAGCGGGGUAUGGCCAUCAAGACAUACCCAGUAUGUAAUUUUUGAGAACGAGAGGCUGUUAGCUGCCACACGCACUGACGCCUCC